rnacentral:rRNA from 1 species
GACGAACGCUGGCGGCGUGCUUAACACAUGCAAGUCGAACGGAAAGGCCCUGCUUUUGUGGGGUGCUCGAGUGGCGAACGGGUGAGUAACACGUGAGUAACCUGCCCUUGACUUUGGGAUAACUUCAGGAAACUGGGGCUAAUACCGGAUAGGAGCUCCUGCUGCAUGGUGGGGGUUGGAAAGUUUCGGCGGUUGGGGAUGGACUCGCGGCUUAUCAGCUUGUUGGUGGGGUAGUGGCUUACCAAGGCUUUGACGGGUAGCCGGCCUGAGAGGGUGACCGGCCACAAUGGGACUGAGAGACGGCGCAGACUCCUACGGGGGGCAGCAGUGGGGAAUAUUGCACAGUGGGCGGGAGCGUAAGGAGGCAACGCCGCGUGCGGGAUGAAGGCCUUCGGGUGGUAAACCGCUUUAGCCUGAGACGAAGCGUGAGUGACGGUAAUGGGUAAAGAAGCACCGGCUAACUACGUG